ACGGAGGACACGUGGGCUUAGUUUGAACCUAUAGCAACGUUGGAAGAGACGACGGCGGUUGUGAAGACUAUUCCUUGUAACAGCGAAUGAAAUGGAAAAGAUUUCUUGGAAGCAUUCCUGAAUCGUGCAGAGACCAGUCAGAAAACCCUCUACGACUGCCGUUGCGGUGCCCCUUUAAGAGCAAAUGGGCCGGCAUGCCGGGAAACCGAGGUAAACCUCCGACAGCUGGACCAGUGGUG